ACAUAAUCAGUUGCAUUUCUGUUCAUUUGGACAUUGUUGGUUAAGUUGUUUGAUCAAAUUCAGGGACAUGUCAAAUAACAUUGACAAAGAAAUAAGUGUCUCACUCAAAAAUACGCAAUUAAAGUGAGUCAAAAUGAAAAAUUUUCACAAAAUCGUGAAAUUAAGGUGUUGCAAAAUAUGCGAACCUCAAAAUCACGAAAUUAACGUGUCGCGAAAAUUUCAUGUAAUAAGGUAUGCCAGAGUACACCAGAACAUUCUACAGGUAGCACAUCCCAAAAUGUUACGGAAUUUAAGGUGAAUGCUAGGAUCCAGGCUUUGAUAUUGAACAUUAUCUGUUUCUGCUUGGCAUUCCAGCUGUUCCAGGUUAUAUUACAUGCCAUUUUGUUCACCAUGCACACAGUGAACAUGAAGAAAAAUUGUUGUUCUGUCUGGUGUCAAGCAGUGCAGAUGUUAGAACAAGACAAUGCUGGUGUACUUUGUCGGUUUGCUUGUGUCAGAGGCCUGAUCAUCUUGGGAAUUAGCUCAAAACAGUACAGUGCUAGUACAUUACGUAACAUGUACAUGUAACAAUUAAUUAUAAACAAGCGUCUGCCCUCAUAUAUUUAAAGACACCAUUCACUACAAGUGUAUCAGCCUCUGGGCUGUUUAAAAACUCUUAGGAACUUUUGGCAACAAAAAACAAAUCAUAAUGAUAUUAUUUUUUCCCUUCCCUAAGCUGUGACGAAUUAAAGACAGAAAUCGAAUUGCUAAGGAGAUCUCCAGUCUCCCAAAGGCUGAAAAUAAUGGCUCUUCACAAGAUUUCAAUGAGAAGCAAAGAAAAGAACAGCAAAAGCUGGAAGAAAUAAAGAGCAAACUUGACAGAAUUUCUGAACAACUAGAACCCGAUGAAGUUGAGGAAGACAUUUCAGAAAGAUGCAAGAAGGCGAUGUUGGUGCAACCAACAGUAACUUGCAGACAGAUAAAGCUGAUGACGAUGGCACGCACAUGCCAGAGAGUGAAGACGAAGAUGAAGUUGAUGACGACGAUGACGAUGACGAGAGUGAAGAGGAAACCACGACAAACAUAGUUAUGGUGAGUCAGUUUUAUUUCAGAUACACUGUAGUCCGAAUCACGGCAUUUCAGGAAACGUGCGUUUUGACUCGUCCAUGUAGGCGAAGAUCGGAGUUCCAUCUCUGAAAGUUUAUCUGUUUCCGCAGUUCUGGUAGCCUGAGAACGGAGAUGUACAUGUAUUUUACGUCUGCGUUCGCAGGCU